rnacentral:rRNA from 1 species
GCUCAGAAACUCAAAGGAAUUGACGGGGCCCGCACAAGCGGUGGAGCAUGUGGUUUAAUUCGAUGCAACGCGAAGAACUUACCUGGUCUUGACAUCCCGGAGACCCUUAGGAAACUAGGGGUGCUUCCAUCUGGAAGAAUCUGGAGACAGGUGCUGCAUGGCUGUCGUCAGCUCGUGUCGUGAGAUGUUGGGUUAAGUCCCGCAACGAGCGCAACCCUUGCCUUUAGUUGCCAGCAGUUCGGCUGGGCACUCUAAAGGGACUGCCGGUGUUAAACCGGAGGAAGGUGGGGAUGACGUCAAGUCCUCAUGGCCUUUAUGACCAGGGCUACACACGUACUACAAUGGCCGAUACAAAGGGCAGCGACACUGCGAGGUGAAGCCAAUCCCGUAAAAUCGGUCUCAGUCCGGAUUGGAGUCUGCAACUCGACUCCAUGAAGUUGGAAUCGCUAGUAAUCGUGGAUCAGCAUGCCACGGUGAAUACGUUCCCGGGCCUU